GUAAACUUUCUCUGUCCGGAGGUUGAUAUACACAUGGUGUCCGGCUUCAAGACUGUGAGUGUAAGCAUGAGACUUCUUCCCCCUCCCUUGAUAGUAUUUACCACAUACCAGGCAGGCAUAAACAUUUAGAUUUGACAGAGAGACAGAGCAAAACUUCUCAAAAUCAAAAUCUAAAACCUGACGGUUUACAGUAUCAAGAUAAGGACAAUCUUUUCGAACUUCA
rnacentral:misc_RNA from 1 species